CCUUUAAUCCCAGCACUCGGGAGGCAGAGGCAGGUAGAUUUCUGAGUUGGAGGCCAGCCUGGUCUACAGAGUGAGUUCCAGGACAGCCAGGGCUACACAGAGAAACCCUGUCUCGAAAAACCAACCAACCAACCAACCAAAGGAUGAUGUUGUAUUUUGGUUCCUCCCACAUCUCUAUUCCAAGUGCCAGGAUUAUAGGUUCUCACUAUCAUGCCUGGUUAGUUUUAUGUAGUAAUAGGACUUGAACCCAGGGUUUCCUGCCAGCAAGUCCCCAGUGCAAGUAUUACAGAACUGUACCAGCACACCCAGCCCAAAACUCCUGCAAGUAGCUUUUACAGGAGAGAAAAACACCCACCAACUAUUUAUGUUAUAGAUUGUGAAGUUCAACUUUUAAUUUUUUUUUAAAUUGUAUGUGUGUGAGUACACUACAGCUGUCUUCAGACACACCAGAAGAGUGCAUCGGAUCCCAUUACAGAUGGUUGUGAGCAACCACGUGGUUGCUAAGAAUUCAACUCAAGACCUCCGGAAGAGCAGGUAGUGUUCUUUAAUUGCUGAGCCAUCUCUUCAGCCCCUCAACUUUAAGUCUUAAAUUUAUCAAAUUUUGUUUUUUCAUAGGAGUCAGGCAAGUUUAUGAAGGUUGGGAGGGUCUGGGAUCCUGCCGUGUAGCUCACGGUGAUCAACAACUUAGAUGUUAAGAUCCACUGGAAACCUGGUCUGUGCUUCUGGUUUCCCCUGAAGCUGAGCUGGGUAAGCCCUAGCUUAGAAAGAGGGAGACUGACUUGUCCCCUUUUUGAGUUCUUAUCUUAGGAAGUGAGGAAUCUGGCUGAAUCCCAGGGCAUCCAUCUGGUUAAAAUAAACAUCUUGGGUGGUCUAAAAUGGAGUCUAAGAACUUGAUGAAGUCAGGUUUGGAGGUAGGAGUCAGAUUUGGAAGUAGGGCACAAUUUGUCUUUGUGAGGUUUUAGGAUUUUAGCAAGUCAAACAUGGCCUCAGCCAUUAGACUAUUUCCUUCCCACUAGACCGACCGCCUGUGUCCCUGACAGCUGCUUGCAGUGGAGUUGGAGCUGGCCUCAGAUACACACUGAUGGAUUGCAGCAACCUGACGUACGGUGGGGAAGCCACCGCCCAUGUUAUUCGGGUAGACCAAACCAAGAAUUAAACAACCACUCUAGUCUGAACUCAGCACUACUGCAGAGAAUCUGCUGGUCCCUAUACAAUCAUCCUGUGGGUAAGGAUAUUACCCACUUAUCGAGCUCCACCCACCGUGUAAGCUGCUCUCUCCCCACACCUGUGCUUCUGGGCUACCUACUGCCAUUAACACAAACCACAGCAAAAGGAAAAUAAAACAAUUUAGCAAAAAUCUAAACAUUCAACUGGAGUCGGUUCUGUGACAUCUGCUGGGCAUUUCCUUUGUCCUUUGAAUAGGUUGGAAUGUGCACACCUGGCUCGACCAAAAGAGGCACAGCUUAGGGGCGGCUUGGACCCAGCUCAAGUCUGGACUUGGCAGCUUUCCUGAGCCUGCCUAGGAAAGCAGGCUGGAGUGCAGGUGUCCCAGGGCUCUCUGGAGGAGCAGCAGCAACACCAUGCCUGGCUCUGGUGCCUUGGUCUCCUCGGAGAGGACACUUGAAGGAAUGGCACUCAGCAGAGUACAGGCCCCGUAACAGUGCAGCGCAGCGACAUCAGCUGAGGACUGGACAGAAUGGUCCUGAUGCUUGGCAGUGAUCCGUACUUGGAUAACCCUCUGCAUGAAAGGGCAGUGAGCCAGGAACCUCA
rnacentral:lncRNA from 1 species